rnacentral:sRNA from 1 species
CUUCAGGACUGAACACAGGGUAUUGGAUAACCAAUUAGGGACUCAUCUCAUUCUUCCUUUCUCAGCUAUCAUUAGUUGUCUGCAGUCCUUUGUGGACAUAGGGUUGUGGCCCUGUGAGAAUUCCUUCCUCCUUCCACAAUAGCAGGUCUAUUGGUAUUGUCAUUGUUUGAGUCUUAUUUAGGUCCCCAUUUGUUGAGAUUCCACAUGCAUAGCUUCCCUGUCAUUUCUAAAAGCAUAAUCUCAUAGCAGACUUCCAGAUCCUCUGGUUCCUACCACCUUUCUCCCCUGUCUUCCAUAAUGCUUCCUGAGCCUUUGGUACCAGAGUUGUAUUGUAGACCUACCCACCGGGGCUAAGGUCCUCAUGAGCUGUUUUUAUUUUGACCAGUUGUGUUUUUUCUUUAAUUGUCUCUGUCUGUUGCAAAGAGAAGCUUCUUUGAUGAGGGGUGAGAGCUGUGUUUACCUGUGUGUCUGAUGAUAAAUAUUCAGAAUGAAGUUAAGACUCAUGCUUGUUUAUGAAAGUAGUAAUUGUAAAUCUCCUACAAGGUUUAUAGUCUCACUAGCCCCGGCAGUCAGCUAGGUUUCCAGUCCCAGUCAUCAUUUCUUUUCUGUUGAGCAAGCCUAAAAUCCAAUUAGACAGCUAUUACUUACCACCAGGAUAUGAGAUAGUCAUGUGUUCUCUGUGAAACAAUCAGUAGGAAGUUCAAGAUGGUGACAGCAGUCACAAGACCCCAUGGGUCUGCAGAGUGCAACCUACGGAAUGCCCUAAUGUGUGUGCGCUAAUGAAAACUUUGUCUGGAUGGGAGUGUAGGCCCAUGUUGGCCAUUUGUUCAUUAGACAUGAAUAUGGUGGUCUGUCCAUCAGGGACAGCUCCAUGGAUCUGAAACCGAUGCAUGUAUUCCCCUCCCACUUACAUGUUCACAAGGAUGGGCAGUGACUAUGGCAGAGGUGAGACCAGAGCAGAAUUCCUGUGAACAAGACUGCUGGUGUAUCCGUGAAGUGUUUGCAAGUGGAUCCAGCUACCACUGUUAACCUAUGAACUGAACUGCCAAUUUCCAGACAACACAGAUGGGAGUUGCUCAUCGAACAAACCAUUCCUAAACAGGUCUAUUUCCCCCAUAUCCUUUCUUUUCCAUUAGAUCUGGUGGGUGAUGGGCUAAAAGGGAGGUUCAAGCAUUGAAGAAUCAUUAUUAAAAGUAGGUUUUAAAAAGUCAAAGUUAUACCUUUUAAUUAAGUCUUCCCCAGCUUGCCCUUUUCUCGAACAUCCUCAGGAUUGGGUUUGUCCUUUGGUUUAUAGGAAUUAAGUGUACAUCUCAUCCACAUUUGUUGGAGCACAGCCUCUAAAGAUAGUUUGAUGCUCCCUGAAACAUGUGGGGCAUGAUUCCUAUCUCAGAGACCCUUCACAGUGCAAUGUUGUCUAAGCACCUCUCUCACUCCGGCAGUGAGCACACGCAUUACCAGUAUGCAUACACUUACCCAGGCUACAGGGAAAUCUGGAUUGAAAAUGUGUGAAAUCUGCUUGCUUGGGGAAACUAACUGUGGACAGAUCUUUUUCAUAAUUUGUGAUAUCUCAUACUAUGUUGGAUGUGCUCGUUCUAUGAACUGUAUCAGUUAAAUGCAUUGUGAGGUACGGCGCUUGUCAAAUAAGGCGCCGCUGUCCCUAAGAAAACAGCCUUGGCAAAUGGGCUGAAAGCAAACAAUACAGAGUCUGGUAGUUUGAAAGGAGCACAGUGAGAGGAAAGCCUAAGGGGGGUGGAGGGUGCGAGGGCAUUGAUGUUCUUGGCCCAGGCAGGGCUGAAGUUUUCUUCUUCUUAAAUAAAAGACAAGUAUGAUCUUUAUAAGAUGAGUAUAUGAUCUUUAUGAACCCUGCAAGAUUUCACAUUAUCUGACACUUUUUUUUGAAAAGUUAUUUUUAAGCUCACAAAGGUAUUGUUGGGACCCUUAUAAAAGUUUCAAACAAUGCAGAAUUUUCAAAGUGAAGAGCGACUGUUGUCCUUUAUCCUUCGCUAUGAUCCUCCCCUCCCUGACUCUUUUUGAAUUUCCGCAUGCCACGUGUGUGCUUUCAUGCAUGUAGGAGCACACAGAGAUUUGGUUUGGGUAAAAACAAUAUAUACAGAGGAGAGAUAGAUAUAUGUGAUGUAAAUGUAGGUAGGUAUAAAUAUAGAUUGUAUAGCUUGGUCAGAGCUUUAUUGAAUGUUAUCUUACUGGUAGCUUUAUAGGUCAUGAAAGCAGAAGAGAGGACUAUGGUAUAAGGAGGGAGAGCAGCGAGAGAAGGAAGAAGAUGAAACACAAGGAAUGACAUCAUCGGACGCACACGCACAUGCGCGCGCAUGCGUGCGCAUGCGUGCACACGCACACCCACACAGGCACCCGUGUAAAACUGCCACAGUGAAAGUCAUUUCUCUGUAUAUCAACUAGAAACUCAACAGAAAUUAGAGCAACAGAAUCCCCGCCAAAAUUAUCCCUAACAACGUUUUAUUCCAGGACUGCUAACGGUUUUCCCCGAGUAAUGAGCCACACGAAAGCGUAGGACUAGAGGGAGCCUGUGAAGUCACAAUUACUCCCCCACUGAAAGCCACUUAAAGCUCUCCCUAUUUCUGGUUCUAUAUGAAGUGCUGCCGUGAGCAUCCUUGUGCAUUUGUCUUCGAGUGUGUCCGAGGAGUAGAAUUCAAGGUGUGGCCAAGGCCCUGGAAGAGGAGAUGAGUAAGAUAAUCGGAAUUCAUGAUCAUCAUAAACCACUCCUUUGAAAAACAGAAGACUUAAAGGUGGGAGUAUGGAGUGAUGCUCCCUGGAACAGUGACGUCGACAGGCUUAGAGAAAUGGAAUGGCGCCCUGUCACCAAACUGCCUUCUACUGGGACUCUCUGGUUCACCAUCUCUUGAUCAUCACACUGAGAACCAAACGUACUUAGGGGAACAAACUCAACCCCUAGCAGCCAGUUUAUCCUCAUCGUCUCCUUCUGACAGGCCAUGAGCAGAGACCUUCUUAACUGGAGCGCCUCCUCCGAAGUCGGAUAACUGAGUAACUGGAUUUACGGAUGCUGAAGUGAGAGCCUUCUCUGCUUCCUGCGAUGGCUGUCUUAGGGGAGAGAGCUGAACCCCUUACCAAAAACAACCAACCAAACAUAAAACGUAGAGAAAGGCUUAGUGAUCCUUCUUAGAGAUGAAGGUGGGAUGGCUGUGCACAGUGGCUCUUUUCCCUGGAGGUGCCAAAAAGCUGUAGCUGUGGAUUCAAUGUGGACUCAGUGUGACAGAAACCGGAGCUCCAUAGAACUGUGAGCCAACGGGCCGGGACAGCAAGGGGGUUGGGCACUCAGCCUGGGGAAAUGCUUGCUACUCAGAAAAAGGUAAAACAGCUUCUAGAAUGUUGAACUAGAAUGUUGCUUUCCUGUAGUGUCUAGCAUGGAAUCCCUUGUUUUAUAUUUUCGUAGAUGAGAAUAUCUGGGUUUUUCUGUCUGAAUUUCCUGUGUAAUCCCCACUCCAUCCAGCUUAUCUCCAUUUGGUUAUUUGCCUGUCUACUGUUGGUUGGUAGACAGUCUUUAUGUAUUGUGGCCUUUCUUUUCCUGAGAGUUGUAUAGAAAGGCUUGUUCUCCCCAGACAGAAAGCCCAAAGAGAUGAUUCCAUCCGAGCCCAUCCUGGCGACCUCGUGAGUUUACUGUGAAGAGUGACUUACGGGGGUAGGAAUGACUCAGGCAGCUGCAUCACAAAAAAAUGCUCCCCACACCAGCUCGUGAAAGCUGCACCAUCAGAGCUUCCUGUGUGACGGGCGGGCAGCUACAUCACUGAAAGCUCUCCUCUGGCUCACAGAGCCUGGGAGUCUUAACUGGUUUCCUAACUUCCUGGAUCUUCCUCGUGAGUUUCCCCGAGCUUUGGGACCCAGCCUCCCUCCACAAAGCAACGUUUCAGCCCCUAAGAAGCAGCUACUUAGCACACGGUCUGAAUGACUCAUGGAUGACAUAGGGGGCCUGCAAGAUGGUUCAGGGUAACGGGGUUUGUCCCCAAGUCUGGCCAGCUGAGUUCCUUCCCUGGAACUAGCAGGAGAGAAACAAGUUCCAAAAGUUCAUCUUCAGAACCAUCCCUCCAAGGCCUCUGCAUCAGCUCCUGCUUCCUGACCUGCUUGAGUUCCAGUCCUGACUUCCUUUGGUGAUGAACAGCAAUGUGGAAGUGCGAGCUGAAUAAACCCUUUC